rnacentral:rRNA from 1 species
UGGGGAAUAUUGCACAAUAGGCGCAAGCCUGAUGCAGCCAUGCCGCGUGUAUGAAGAAGGCCUUCGGGUUGUAAAGUACUUUCAGCGGGGAGGAAGGGAGUAAAGUUAAUACCUUUGCUCAUUGACGUUACCCGCAGAAGAAGCACCGGCUAACUCCGUGCCAGCAGCCGCGGUAAUACGGAGGGUGCAAGCGUUAAUCGGAAUUACUGGGCGUAAAGCGCACGCAGGCGGUUUGUUAAGUCAGAUGUGAAAUCCUCGGGCUCAACCUGGGAACUGCAUCUGAUACUGGCAAGCAUGAUUCUCGUAGAGGGGGGUAGAAUUCCAGGUGUAGCGAUAACAUGCGUAGAGAUCUGGAGGAAUAACGGUGGCGAAGGCGGCCCCCUGGACGAAGACUGACGCUCAGGUGCGAAAGCGUGGGGAGCAAACAGG